AUUGAACGCUGGCGGCAGGCUUAACACAUGCAAGUCGAGCGGAGAUGAGGUGCUUGCACCUUAUCUUAGCGGCGGACGGGUGAGUAAUGCUUAGGAAUCUGCCUAUUAGUGGGGGACAACAUUCCGAAAGGAAUGCUAAUACCGCAUACGUCCUACGGGAGAAAGCAGGGGAUCUUCGGACCUUGCGCUAAUAGAUGAGCCUAAGUCGGAUUAGGUAGUUGGUGGGGUAAAGGCCUACCAAGGCGACGAUCUGUGGCGGGUCUGAGAGGAUGAUCCGCCACACUGGGACUGAGACACGGCCCAGACUCCUACGGGAGGCAGCAGUGGGGAAUAUUGGACAAUGGGGGGAACCCUGAUCCAGCCAUGCCGCGUGUGUGAAGAAGGCCUUAUGGUUGUAAAGCACUUUAAGCGAGGAGGAGGCUACUGAGACUAAUACUCUUGGAUAGUGGACGUUACUCGCAGAAUAAGCACCGGCUAACUCUGUGCCAGCCGCCGCCGUAAGAC
rnacentral:rRNA from 1 species